rnacentral:tmRNA from 1 species
UGGGUGGCCACCGGCCGAGAAUCUAAAGCAGACUGCACCCGGAGAAGAAGCAGGCUUGGUCGAUCGGACGGGGGUUCAAUUCCCCCCAUCUCCACUACGAGCACACUGAAUUGAUACAAUUGCGCAAAACUAGGGUUUUGCGCAAAGGUGCGCGCAAAAUUUGAAAACGCGCGCAAAAUCUAAAAGUCCUGCUCACAGGCAUAAAAAUAGAGCUGACUACUUCAACGGUGGUCAGCCCUAUUUCGCUUUGCGCGGGGUGCUAAAGUUUGUGGCUCCAGUAUCCGGUGAGCGCGAAUGCGGCGAUGAGUUGGAAUGCUGCUGCGCUUUGGAGGGCAAUGAAUGCCGUAAUGCUGAAUGCGUCCACGAUAAGUGACGCGCCAACGAGCACCAUGGAGAGCACAGUGAUGACGGGUCUUCCAGAUUUCAUGCGAAUCGCCGCUUCUCGCUCGUCAUUUUCACGAAUGUAGGCGGCCUGCAAUAUUUCGUCAUUGCGCAUUUUUCCAAGAUUCACGCCCAUGUAUCCCACACAGAUAAGUUCAAAAAUGAUUCCGGCGACGGUGAUGAUGUUGACGAUUGGUGUUCCCGGCACAUUUGCGCGCAGGAAGACGUUCCCUAGGGCACUAAAAGCGAGACCGAGAAUAACGAAGAUCAGUGCCAGGGCCUGACGUUUCUUCAGUUCGUUGCGGUAUUGCUCGAGUUCGUUCAUUUUGAUUCCUCCAGGUUUGUAAAGUCGAAGACGUCCUCAAUGGUGCGGCC